CGAAAACUUUACCAUGCGGGAAACCGUGAUAAGGGGACACCGAGUGCCAGCAUCAUAUGCUGGCUGUCCAGGUGUGUAAAAUACACCUGUUAGCAAGGGCCGGGCAAGACCGGUGCCAGCCGCCGCGGUAACACCGGCGGCCCGAGUGGUGAUCGUGAUUAUUGGGUCUAAAGGGUCCGUAGCCGGUUUGGUCAGUCCUCCGGGAAAUCUGACGGCUCAACCGUUAGGCUUUCGGGGGAUACUGCCAGGCUUGGAACCGGGAGAGGUAAGAGGUACUACAGGGGUAGGAGUGAAAUCUUGUAAUCCCUGUGAGACCACCUGUGGCGAAGGCGUCUUACCAGAACGGGUUCGACGGUGAGGGACGAAAGCUGGGGGCACGAACCGGAUUAGAUACCCGGGUAGUCCCAGCCGUAAACGAUGCUCGCUAGGUGUCAGGCAUGGCGCGACCGUGUCUGGUGCCGCAGGGAAGCCGUGAAGCGAGCCACCUGGGAAGUACGGCCGCAAGGCUGAAACUUAAAGGAAUUGGCGGGGGAGCAC
rnacentral:rRNA from 1 species